GGUGUGGCAUUUUACAUGCUGUAACUCUUUGUUCCUGCUUCAGCAGGUCAGAGAAAGAUCUGAGUGUGAUUCCAGCUGUUUAGAAGCACAUGAGCCCUCUGACUGGCAUGAUGGUCCCAGUCCCUCAACAUUACAGCUUUCCUACAGAGAACCACCCCAGCACAGCAGAAGGUGUCACAGAACAUGGGAAGAGCUCCAUGAGCGUGUUCGAGGUCUUCUAACAACACCAAAAGCUGUACGUCGACUUGUCUAUGGUACCACAGUUUCUGAGGUAGAUGAAGUGUUAGCAAGGAGGUCCAUUUCUCCAGGUCCACCCUGAUGGCUGGUCAGAGUAAGGAGAGCUCAGAUGGUGCCGCUCUGCUGCUGUGAGUUUCAGGAUCUACGGUCAAAGAUAAAUACCAGAGCAUCAAUGGUGUGGUUCUGGUUAGGCGAUGUUUGUAUGAUCAAACAAAUAAUGAUAUAAUAUAAAACUUAACUUUGUUUUUUUUCUCAACCCAGUGUGUUAAUUUGAAAGGUUGCUUUGAAUGCUAAAUUUGCUGUAAAAUGUCUUAAAAAACAUGGGGUUAGGUCUAGUUUUUAUCCCCUCAACAGUGUUUGCCCAGGUAAGAGAAUCUUCAGAAGCAGGAUGUCCCAAUAAGUUUUUUUUGUUUGUUUUUUUGGCUCAAUUAAAGAUUCAAGGUAUUUAAGAAUAAGUAUUUGGGGAUACAGGGUUAUAGCCAAUGAAAUGAAUGUCAUACAAAUCCCCCAAAACUCAGAAGGUUUCAAGUGCAGCAAAAUAACACACCACGUUAUAUCAAUAAACCCUUAGACAGCCAUGAUGCUCCAGAUGCUGCUGCCUCUCCUACUGUCUUCUCCUAACAGGGACUUUUUUCCCAGCCAUAGUUUUUGCAGGACAGUCUUAACAUUUGGCCCCGACACUGUAACUAAGUUAAAAAAGCUGCUAUAAUGUUCACCAAAGCACACAUAGCUGUAUCACCUGUUUCUAAGGAUAGAUUUACCUAACACAUGCAGUUUUGUUUUUUAAAAAAUAAUCACAUUUUGCUUCUGCUUCCAACGUCUACAAGUGGAGCAGUUUACCAAAGUGCUUGGUGAACACUUGCAUGUUGCCGCUCUAUGUUGAUACGACUCUCAGAUGGAGCAAUUGUAAUGUACAUGUAUUUUAACGUGGUUCCUGUUGCAGAUAAAAAAGAAAACAGCAACAAAUGAACAAGAAAAACUCUUCCUUCUUCAUAAACUUAGCAUUUUACUUUGAACAC